AUCCAGCUGGCGAGUUCUAAAUAGGACGAAAUGUGCAUCCUGGAU
rnacentral:hammerhead_ribozyme from 1 species